rnacentral:rRNA from 1 species
UCUUCCUACGGGAGGCAGCAGUGGGGGAUAUUGCUCAAUGGGGGAAACCCUGAAGCAGCAACGCCGCGUGGAGGAUGAAGGUUUUCGGAUUGUAAACUCCUUUUGUUAGAGAAGAUAAUGACGGUAUCUAACGAAUAAGCACCGGCUAACUCCGUGCCAGCAGCCGCGGUAAUACGGAGGGUGCAAGCGUUACUCGGAAUCACUGGGCGUAAAGAGCACGUAGGCGGGAUAGCAAGUCAGAUGUGAAAUCCUAUGGCUUAAC